CCCAAACUGCUGCUCUUUCUCCCCGGCCCGUGGGACUUGGGAGUGCGUGAGAGUGAGGGACUCAGCAAAACCCUAAUUUUCACCCCAAUUCGCCCCUUCCAAACCCUAACCCUAAUACGCUCGAUGUUGUAAUCCCGCCGCGUUUGCCAUGGCUCUAGAGGGGCCCGCGGAGCGACGGGACGAGGGCCAGCAGGGAGGUAUGGCGAACGGGAAUGGCGUGGCUCCGCCGCCGUCGCGCAUGGCCGGCCGGCCGUUGGGGGCGGCUGCGUACUCUGACAGGCGGCUGCGCCUCAAUCCGAACACGGAGCACAAGCCGCAGGACUACACCGACGUGCGCGGCGAGUACGCGCCAGCCGUGUACAGCGCCCUGGAGCGGCACCUCCCACCUAGCCUCCUUGAGGCCGACCGUGAUGUCAAGCUACACUUCAUGCGGGACAUACUCGCGCGCUAUUGGCCCCAUGGCGAGCGAAACAAGGUUCAUAGGCACAAAGAAUACAGGCAGAAGAUAGUCCACCUCUAUAAGCCACUUCAUCAAGAAUUAUACAGCAUGCAUCCUUCGGCUUUCUUCUUACCAACAUUCCUUGAAGCAGUAAGAACCAAUACAGAAGAAAGCAUUGCAAGUAUAAUGACUGAACCAAUUCCUGGUGUUUUUUCAUUUGCUAUGUUACAGCCCAACUUUUGUGACAUGCUAUUGGAGGAGGUAGAGAACUUUGAAAAGUGGGUUCAUGCAAUGAAAUUUAAGAUAAUGAGGCCUAAUACAAUGAAUAAGUAUGGUGCUGUCCUUGAUGAUUUUGGCCUGGAAGCUAUGCUGAAUCAGUUCAUGGAGGAGUUCAUAGCUCCAAUUUCUAAAGUUUUUUACCCUGAGGUUGGUGGAGGAACAUUGGACUCUCAUCAUGCUUUUGUUGUUGAAUAUGGGAAAGACAGAGAUGUUGAACUAGGUUUCCAUGUUGAUGAUUCUGAGGUCACAUUAAAUGUUUGCCUUGGCAAGCAAUUCUCAGGCGGUGAAUUAUACUUUCGUGGCAUUCGUUGCGAGAAUCAUGUGAACUCAGAAACACAGCACGAGGUACAUGGUGUUUGGAAAUGUAUGAUUACUCUCAUGUUCCUGGACGAGCUGUACUUCACCGUGGCCGUCAUAGACAUGGUGCUAGACCGACAUCAUCAGGGCUCAGAAUGAAUCUGCUUUUGUGGUGCAGAAGCUCCGUGUUCAGGGAGAUGAAGAAAUACCAGAUGGAUUUUUCUAGCUGGUGCGGUGAGUGCCAGCGUGAAAAGAGAGAGAGGCAGAUUCAGUGCGUCAAAGCGACCAAGUUGGCAUUUCUUAGGGGUGCUGGAGGGGCAAUGAUUUAAGUCAUAUUUACUGCAUGUAUUUUAUGCAAUCCUGUAUUAUAUUAAACAUCCUUUGAUCAUUUGGAAACAUCUAGUAUAAUUGUUGUCAAAUUUCCAGCUCGUAUGUUUGUCAGUGUCAUUGCAUCUUAUGUAAAUCUGAACUUUCCUGCUGCAUUGCCACAUAAGCAAUGGGUUUAACUUUUAUAGUGUUUCAGUUUUACUGGUGUAUAAAGCAUGAGUAAUGCUAGAGUUA